rnacentral:rRNA from 1 species
AGAGUGAACGCUGGCGGCAGGCCUAACACAUGCAAGUCGAACGGCAGCACAGGGGAGCUUGCUCCCUGGGUGGCGAGUGGCGGACGGGUGAGGAAAACGUCGGAAUCUGCCUAUUUGUGGGGGAUAACGUAGGGAAACUUACGCUAAUACCGCAUACGACCUACGGGUGAAAGCGGAGGACCUUCGGGCUUCGCGCAGAUAGAUGAGCCGACGUCGGAUUAGCUAGUUGGCGGGGUAAAGGCCCACCAAGGCGACGAUCCGUAGCUGGUCUGAGAGGAUGAUCAGCCACACUGGAACUGAGACACGGUCCAGACUCCUACGGGAGGCAGCAGUGGGGAAUAUUGGACAAUGGGCGCAAGCCUGAUCCAGCCAUGCCGCGUGUGUGAAGAAGGCCUCGGUUAGUAAGCAUUUUGUACCGGAAAGAAAAGUCAACCGGUUAAUACCCGUGGUGUACAUGACGGUACCGAAGAAUAGCACCGCUAACGUCGUGCC